GGGGCACUUGGGGGGCAGUUGGGGGGCAGUUGGGGGUGUGGGGGGGCAAUUGGGGGGCAGAUGGGGGGCAGUUGUGGGGCAAUUUGAGGGGCAGGAGGGGGUCGGGGUCUCUGUGGGUCUGCAGGGCUCCCUAUGGGGUCGCUGUGGGGCUCUGUGGGGUUUUAUGGGUCCUUAUGGCGUCUGUCUGGGAUGCUGUGGGAUUUUAUGGGGUUUUUAUGGGGUUCUUUAGGGCUCCCGUGGGUCUCUAUGGGGUUUUAUGGGGUUUUCAGGUCCCAGGACUCAGGGGAAUGAGGGAAGCUUUGGUUACGGUGCCUAUGGGAUCCCAUGGGGUUUUUAUGGGGUUUUGGUGCCAGGACUCGGAGGCGUCGGACUGGGAGGAGUGGGGGGAGCUUUGGGGUCUCUAUGGGGUCUCUAUGGGAUUCUAUAGGUCUCUAUGGGUCUCUAUGGGUCCAUGUGGGAUCUUAUGGGGUUUUUAUGGGGUUUUUGGUGCCAGGACUCGGAGGUGUCGGACUCAGAGGAGUGGGGGGAGCUUUGGGGUCCCUAUGGGGUCCCUUUGGGAUUGUAUGGGUCUCUAUGGGUCUCUAUGGGUCUCUAUGGGUCCAUGUGGGAUCCUAUGGGGUUUUUAUGGGGUUUUUGGAUCCCAGGACUCAGAGGAGUGUGGGGAGCUUUGGGGUCCCUAUGGGGUCUCUAUGGGAUUCUAUGGGUCUCUAUGGGAUCCUAUGUGUCCCUAUGGGUCCCUAUGGGAUCCUAUGGGUCCAUGUGGGAUGCUAUGGGGUUUUUCUGGGGUUUUUCUGGGGUUUGUCUGCGUUUGUCCAGGACUCGGAGGACUCGGAGGCGUCGGACUCGGAGGAGUGGGGCAGCUCGGGGUCGGGGACGGAUUCGGAGUCGGACGAGGAGGAGGGGAAGUUCACCUCGCUGGCCUCCAAGUUCCUCAAGAAGUGCGCCCCAUAGCCGCCCCAUAGCCGCCCCACAACUGCCCCACAGCUGCCCCAUAAGUGCCCCACAGCCGCCCCAUAGCUGCCCCAUAAGUGCCCCACAGCCGCCCCAUAGCUGCCCCAUAAGUGCCCCACAGCCGCCCCACAGCCGCCCCACAGCCGCCCCACAGCCGC
rnacentral:lncRNA from 1 species